UGCAUGUCUAAGUACAUGCCGUAUUAAGGCGAAACCGCGAAUGGCUCAUUAAAUCAGUUAUGGUUCCUUGGAUCGUACUUCACUACUUGGAUAACUGUGGCAAUUCUAGAGCUAAUACAUGCAGCAGAGCUCCGACCUUCGGGGACGAGCGCUUUUAUUAGACCAAAACCAAUCGGACCUCGUGUCCGUCCUCCGUGGUGACUCUGUAUAACUUUGGGCUGAUCGCACGGGCCCGUCCCGGCGACGUAUCUUUCAAGUGUCUGCCUUAUCAACUUUCGAUGGUAGGUUACGCGCCUACCAUGGUCAUAACGGGUAACGGGGAAUCAGGGUUCGAUUCCGGAGAGGGAGCCUGAGAAACGGCUACCACAUCCAAGGAAGGCAGCAGGCGCGCAAAUUACCCACUCCCAGAACGGGGAGGUAGUGACGAAAAAUAACAAUACGGGACUCUUUUGAGACCCCGUAAUUGGAAUGAGUACACUCUAAAUCCUUUAACGAGGAUCUAUUCGAGGGCAAGUCUGGUGCCAGCCGCCGCGGUAAUUCCAGCUCGAAUAGCGUAUAUUAAAGUUGUUGCGGUUAAAAAGCUCGUAGUUGGAUCUCAGUUCCAGACGGGUGGUCCGCCAAACGGUGGUUACUGCCCGUUCUGAACAGCCAGCCGGUUUCUCUUGAUGAUCUUCACCGGUUGUCUCGGGUGACCGGCAAGUUUACUUUGAAAAAAUUAGAGUGCUCAAAGCAGGCGUGACGCCUGAAUAAUGGUGCAUGGAAUAAUGGAAUAGGACCUCGGUUCUAUUUUGUUGGUUUUCGGAACACGAGGUAAUGAUUAAGAGGGACAGACGGGGGCAUUCGUAUUGCGACGCUAGAGGUGAAA
rnacentral:rRNA from 1 species